AUUUUUCCUUCCUAAGUGUAGUACUGUAUUUUGCACUUGUCUUUAUUGAAUUUCAUCGUGUUGAUUUCAGAGCAAUUUUCUAACUUGUCAAGGUCAUUUGAAUUCCAGUCCUGCC